rnacentral:rRNA from 1 species
GGACAACUUACCCAAGAGUCCGGGAUAACCCNGGGAAACUGGGGAUAAUACCGGAUAGAUCAUCUGUGCUGGAAGGCUGGGUGGUUGAAACUUCCGGGGCUUUUGGAUGGGUCUGCGGCUGAUUAGGUUGUUGCCGGUGUAACGUACCGUCAAGCCUGUAAUCAGUACGGGUUGUGGGAGCAAGAGCCCGGAGAUGGAUUCUGAGACACGAAUCCAGGCCCUACGGGGCGCAGCAGGCGCGAAAACUCUACAAUGCAGGCAACUGCGAUAGGGGAACAUCGAGUGAUCCUCAUAUUGGGGGUCUGUCCACCCGUCUAAAAAACGGGAGUUAGCAAGGGCCGGGCAAGACCGGUGCCAGCCGCCGCGGUAAUACCGGCGGUUCGAGUGGUGGCCGAUAUUAUUGAGUCUAAAGGGUCCGUAGCCGGCUUUGCAAGUCUUUUGGGAAAUCCAGCGGCUUAACCGUUGGUCGUCCGGGAGAUACUACAUUGCUUGGGACUGGGAGAGGUAGGAGGUACUCAGGGGGUAGGAGUGAAAUCCUGUAAUCCUUUGGGGACCACCGGUGGCGAAGGCGUCCUACCAGAACAGGUCCGACGGUGAGGGACGAAAGCUAGGGGCACGAACCGGAUUAGAUACCCGGGUAGUCCUAGCCGUAAACGAUGCUCGCUAGGUGUCACAACAAUCGUGAAUUGUUGUGGUGCCGUAGGGAAGCCGUGAAGCGAGCCACUUGGGAAGUACGGCCGCAAGGCUGAAACUUAA